UGCUAAUAGAAGACUAACUUUGAACUUUUGAAGGGUAACGAAUUGAAAGUACUAACUGAAGAAGUUAUACUAGCACACGGCAGCCAUGCGCCUUCGCGUGGGCGUUAUAUUUCUGGUUCUUGCAGCGGUGACAGCAGCGACUGAGCUGCCUUCUGCCGCCACCUACACGCAGCCUGGCAACGCCUUCAUCGCCGUGUUCGCGGGUCUCCACAAG
rnacentral:lncRNA from 1 species